rnacentral:rRNA from 1 species
CGAACGCUGGCGGCGUGCUUAGCACAUGCAAGUCGACCGGAAAGGCCCUGCUUUUGUGGGGUGCUCGAGUGGCGAACGGGUGAGUAACACGUGAGUAGCCUGCCCUUGACUUUGGGAUAACUUCAGGAAACUGGGGCUAAUACCGGAUAGGAGCUCCUGCUGCAUGGUGGGGGUUGGAAAGUUUCGGCGGUUGGGGAUGGACUCGCGGCUUAUCAGCUUGUUGGUGGGGUAGUGGCUUACCAAGGCUUUGACGGGUAGCCGGCCUGAGAGGGUGACCGGCCACAUUGGGACUGAGAUACGGCCCAGACUCCUACGGGAGGCAGCAGUGGGGAAUAUUGCACAAUGGGCGGAAGCCUGAUGCAGCAACGCCGCGUGCGGGAUGACGGCCUUCGGGUUGUAAACCGCUUUCGCCUGUGACGAAGCGUGAGUGACGGUAAUGGGUAAAGAAGCACCGGCUAACUACGUG